rnacentral:lncRNA from 1 species
GACUUAGCAACUGAACGGCAACAGUCAUGUAUAAAGUGGGACUGGAGCUCAGGUGAGUAGCAGAUGAUGGAGACAGAGAUUGGAGGGUCUCUGGCUCAAAGGUGAGAGCUGAGGUCAUCGGAGUGGAUGAAAUCGAUCUGGACAAGUAUAUCAUGAAACAAAACAGCCGAAGACAGACUCUCAGGUUGGCAUGUCGGUUAAACCAAAUGCAGCCCAGCACAAAGGUUCUUACCUGCCAACUGCUGUCAGCGUCAUCUGGUGACCCUUCCUACAAACAGACCAUCUGACCUAGGGAUGAUCACACCGAACAGAUUGGGAACCAGUAAAAAGGAAGUCGUGGGAGAAGCAAAGGUGCUGACAGACAGAAGAAGAGUUAGGCCACCUCAAGCCUGGAGUGACGCCGUGGGACUUGAAGAGGCUCUGCGUGAUUGCCCGAAAUGUACCUCAUAAACUCAGCAUGCAUAUUUGAAUUGGCUUUUCUAGGUUAUUUUGUGGUGAAUGCACCACAAAAGGAGAUUUCUCCUAUUAUUUAUUAGG